AGAGUUUGAUUAUGGCUCAGAACGAACGCUGGUGGCGUGUCUUAUACAUGCAAGUCGAGCGAGGCAGCAAUGCCGAGCGGCGAACGGGUGAGUAACGCGUAAGCAAUCUGCCCCAUAUCAGGAAAUACCCGUGCCAACGCGCGGUUAAUGUCCAGGAGAGUGGCCCUCCGCAUGGAGGGUUGACUAGAGAUUUAUCGGUAUGGGAUGAGCUUGCGUCCGAUUAGCUAGUUGGCGGGGCAACGGCCCACCAAGGCGACGAUCGGUAGCCGGCCUGAGAGGGUGAUCGGCCACAUUGGGACUGAGAUACGGCCCAGACUCCUACGGGAGGCAGCAGUAGGGAAUAUUGCACAAUGGGGGAAACCCUGAUGCAGCAACGCCAACCGUGUGGGAAGAAGCAUUUCGGUGUGUAAACCACUGUCAUGAGGGAAUAAGGCCCGCCUUCGGACGGGAUUGAAUGUACCUUGAAAGGAAGCACCGGCAAACUUCGUGCCAGCCGCGGC
rnacentral:rRNA from 1 species